GCAUGAGCCGCGCGGGGGUCGGGGCCCUCCGGCGUCCGGGCGUCCGGGGAGGCGGCCGCAGCGCCGCUCUGCCUGGAGCGCUGCGUGCGUGCGCGCCGGAGGGAGCCCGAGUGUGUGUGCGUGUGUCUGUGCGUAUGUGUGCCUGUGUGUAUGUGUGCGUGUGUGUGUGUAUGCGCGCGCGGGAGCGCGCGGGUGUGUGCGCGCGGGCGGGCGUGUGUGUGUGUGUGUGUGUGUGUGUGUGUGUGUGUGUGUGUGCGCGCGCGCGCGGCAGCCCCGCUCCAGCGGGUGGGCCACGGGUGGCGGGGGCCGGGCUAAGCCGAGGCCCGGCCUCCCUCCCUCCCUCCCUUCUUCCCUCCCUUCUUCCCUCCCUCCCGCAGCCUCCCGGGCGCGCCACCUCCCGCCUGGUCACCAGCCAGCUGGCGAGGCUGCCGCGGCGGCUCCCGCUGCAGACCGAGCGCGGCGCAGGGCGCACGCGAAGGGAGCUCGGGAGGGGCGGCCGGUGCAGCCGGGGAGGGGGCGGAGGCGGGCCGAGGACUGGGUGUCGCCCGAGAGGGGGUGGGGGGCGGAGCCACCAGCAGGUUUUGGCGGGGGAUGGGAGGAUAAAUGAGGCUGCUUGGGCCGUUCUAGGCCAGCUCCCCGAGAGCACAUGCAACCACGAGAGGCGGAGAGUUUGAGGGACCCGGGGUUAGGAGAAGAAACGGGAUGCAGCCCAGCCGGAGAAGGCAGACAGGCAGCUUAAGGGAGAGGGGAAAUCCGGCGGAGGGUGGGAGCACGAGGGGAGGGUCGGUGGGCUCCCGGGAGCGCGGCGGCGCACGCGGCUCCCCCAGGGUCAGCCACCUGGCCCGGGCGCGGGUGCAUGUCACUGGCCUGGGGCGUCUCCUCGUCGCGUGCUGGGGUCCCAAGGGCCGCGUCAGACCCGGAGAGCAUCGCCGGCCGGUUGGCCCAGCACCGGCCGACCUGGAAGGGCGCUGACGAUGGCAGGAACCGCCACUCUUGGGAUCGGGGCCGCUGGGGAGGGCGCCGCAUUCCCCUUUCCCUGUCUGCUUCCUGUCGCUUUUCCGAGAAACACUCCUUGGUUCCCCGAGGUUGGGCGCGGGGUGCACCCAGAACUCAACCCUGACCCUCCCCCCUGCUCCCCGCACCGCGCGACGGCGCCUCUCGGGACCAGCCUGGGGAGGAAACCCGAGGCUCGGCCUGGCCGUAGCUAUUCCCUGAGUCCAGACAGGGGUCCUCGCUCGGCUAUACCCCCUUUCUAUUUCAGCCUCCUUUGCCCUCUUCCCCCCAUCUCCCUUCAGGUCGUCGAGGGGGUUUCCCUCAACCAUCGGCCCCUUUAAUUGCCUCUUGAGCAAUGGAGCACAAAAGGGGCAAGCGCAAGUGGCGGAGACCCCCGGGCUCCACUUCCCUGGGUCAGGCGAUCUCCCUUGGACCCCAGCCAAGAAAGAGAUGGGAGACUUGGGGAAAGGGGCGCCCUCCCCCGCUGGCGGCGGGCUGUAAAACGGGGCAGAGGCUAGCCAUGGACUAUGAGGCGGGUAGGCCAGGGAAUUAUACUCAACCCUCGCGCAGCUCGCUCCGGGAGCCCUGAUCCCUCUGGGUCGCCCCCUCGGGCCGUGCUUGGGCUCCCCGCCCACAGGAUUCUGUCUGGGUCGAUCGAGUCUAGGGACCCACGGAGGCUCCCCGGCGGGGAUGCUUUCCAUCACAUUUUGGGGACUCGCGGGUGCUUGCGCCCCGGGCGCACCAGGGAAGGGGGCCCCCGCUGUGGGCGACGUCUGGGCCGCCCGGUCUCCACGGGGUCUGAGCUCGCCCGCGGGGGCGGGGAGCCCCACCCCUAGCAGCCGCUCUCCCCAGAAUUCGUUUUGGAAACCGAGGCCCCCGCGCUCGGCGAAUGAGCCUGGCCGCCCGGUGAGUCACCGCGAGCGGGCGACAAGGAUUCCCAGCAGCUGGUAAUUAAUUGCGCCGUGGCUCGGCCCACGACGGAACCCCAGUCGGGCCUCCCGCCGCCCUGCAGCGGCGCCACCCCUGAGUCACAGCCGUCGGGCCUACGCCGUCCGGAAGCAGCCUGCCCGCCUGGACGCCACCAGGGGGCACUGGACUCCGACCCACAGGUCGCCCCGCUUUGAGUCAACGCCUCGUAGGAAGGUCCAGGCUGUCCCCGCCGGCAGAUGGGAACACUUCCAACGGGAGAGGAUCACGUGCCCAGGGACACAGGCAAUUCGGAUCCAGAACCAGCACUGAACCUCCUCCUGGCUUCUGUCCUGCGUUCCUUCAAGGACCCAGCUGCCUUCUGACCCCAAGUUCACAGUGCCACGAAUAGCCACAGACCACUCCCAAACGCCGUUUCUUCCUUUACUUCCCCCCCGCCCCCCCCCCCCACAUAUGGCCUUUGGACUCAAGAGAAACAAGCCUGGGAGCCGGGCCUCUGGGGGGCUCUUGGUCGGGGAGGGGGGUAAAAGGAGGGUUUCCUGGUCUGUCCAUCCAGCACCCACACUCCUCUCCUCACCCUACACUCUCCUUCCAUGGUCUUGACCUGCAGGUGGAAGUGAACUCGUUGAAGCAGAGCCUGGGUCUUGACAUCUUCCCUGUGUCCCCAGCACUCAUCCCCAAGGCAGGUGCUCAGCUAGCACUGCGGGUUGCUGCCGCAUGACAGUCCAGGAAGCGGUUAGGCUGGUGGCAGUGCGUCUGGGGAGACCACCUUCCCUCUCUGCCCCUGUGGUCUGGGAGCACCAACUCCAGCUCAGCCUAGAGGUGGAUUCAGAGCUCAGGUGUGGCCAAUGAGAGCCAGGUUUCCCCCAGCCACGGUGAUUGGCUGGGCGUGGCUCACCUCUCAACCAAUGAGAACCCUGGGAAAGAAUUUCUUUGAGGAGUGGGAGGGAGGCAGGUACUGAGACUGCAGGUUCUUUACACACAGUGGGCGUGUCCGUAGCCCCUGGGGCUAAGAAUCACUACCCAGAGAGGCCGACCAGCUUAUGCGGGCCCCUCAGUGAGUCAGUGGAUCUCACUCCCAGUCUAGUGCUGCUUCUACAUCAGCGCUAUGCGUCUGUGAAAGACUCAGCUGCGGGCGGGAAGCGGGGAGGUACCGUGCUCUAGGCCAGCCACCCAGUGCAGCACGUCACACCUCCGUGCCUUUGCUCACGCCGUUCCCUCUGCCUGUAUACCUUUCCCUGUCCUCUUCAGGCUCCCGUCUCCUCAUCUUUCAAGGUUCACCUCUGGCAGCAUCUCCUCCAGAAGCUUCCCCUGUGCCCAGCCUGGAUGAGGCGCCUGUGUCUCUGCACAUACUUCUAUCCUGUGACCCCUUUGGUGCCAGUCACACCUCCCCUGCCAGACUGUGAGCUCCUUGAGGGCAGGGGCCAUGCCGGCCUCAACUUGGUCAUGCAGGACCUUCCACACAGUAGGUGCACAAUAAAUGUUUGUUAAAAACUAAA